ACGGAGGGUGCAAGCGUUGUUCGGAAUUACUGGGCGUAAAGGGCGCGUAGGUGGUUGUGUAAGUCAGAUGUGAAAUCCUCAGGCUUAACCUGAGAAGUGCAUCUGAUACUGCAUGACUUGAGUACAGCAGAGGGAAAUGGAAUUCCUGGUGUAGGAGUGAAAUUCGUAGAUAUCAGGAGGAACACCGGUGGCGAAGGCGGCUUCCUGGACUGAUACUGACGCUGAGACGCGAAAGCGUGGGGAGCAAACAG
rnacentral:rRNA from 1 species